UGUAACAAUGAGUCAUAUUAGUGAGGAAAUAAUUGUUUUUUAAUCCUAAUUGGUUUAUUAAUUAUUCAAGGGUUGGCUUGAGACAUCUGAGAAAAAGAGAGUUGGAAGUUUAGAUGUGAACACAGAGGAGUAACUACCUGUUUAAUCAUACAUGGAAUUUCCCUGAAGAACCUGCCAGAUUCAAGUCCUCAAGUACAUCAUGAACUUUGUUUAUCUGUUCAUUCUCAUCUUUGGAAUUUUCCCUGAAACUAACUGUGGUCGUCACUAUCAUAGAAGCUACUCUGACAGCGAUGAGAGACGUAACAUCUACCCAAUCCCAACAUUCCGCUGGUAUCGCCCAAUACCGGUGCAUCCCCGCUUUCCCUUCCCUCUGUGGCCUCUAUAUCCUUGGCUGCUGCCCCAACCGGCCCCAGCCCCGGCCCCAGCCCCAGCCCCGGCCCCAGCUCCGGCCCCAGUCCCGACCCCGGCCCCAGCCCCAGGACCCGCUACCCCACCCCCUGGUACCACCCCCAAACGAGGAGACAAUGGCUAGACCUUCUCAGUGGUACCUGCACAUGUCUAUGAAUCCUUUUUCUUAAACAUCUCUUGUUUUAAAUGUCUUCAGUACAAUGUCUUAUCCUCUGUUAACAAUGAACCAGGGCAGCAAAGCUCUUCUCAACAUGUCCAUUUAUUUCCACAUUAAAUAGAUCUAUCUGCAUUUUGACUGGCUUUUUAUAUGAUUUGUGCUCUAUUUCUGUUUUAUCAGAAGAUAAAUUCAUUGUAUUAAGAA